AUUAGAUACCCCAAUAGUCAAAGCAGAAAAUGAUGAAUGUCAUAGAUUAGAUAUACAAUUUAUUCUAUAAAUGAAAGUGUAAGCAUUCCACCUCAAGAGUAAUUUGGCAACAUUGGAACUGAAAUCAUUAGACCGUUUCUGAAACCAGUAGUGAAGUAUGUUGUUUAAUUUGAUGAUACGCAAAAAACCUUACCACAAUUUGAAUAUUUAUAUAUAUCUUUUAUUGAUUUUUACUAACAUAUAUGUAGACAAUUAAAAUGAUGCUUAUUUCUCGUUUGUGAGACUAAGCAUCAAAAAAGAUAGUAUAUUUACAAGCGUUGCACGGCUGUCUUCAGUUAAUGUCGUGAGAUUUUGGUUAGUUCCAUUAAAUUAACGUAAACCCUUACUUUAUUUUUAUAUAAAGUAGUUCUCCGCUAUAUUGGAUAUGAUAACAGGGACUAAGACAAGU
rnacentral:rRNA from 1 species